rnacentral:lncRNA from 1 species
UCCAAUUGAUUUCUCAGUAUCCAUUCCAAUACUCCCUCUUCUCUCUCACGCCUACUCCCUCACACUCUAACCAUUCUCUUCAAUUCAAGCUUUGAACUAAGGAAAGGAAGCAUGGAUUCUUACAUGCAAUCAUGGUAGCAACUUCUCUAGCCAUAAGUAAACAAGGUAACAGACUUACCUUUUCCUUUUCUUUAACAUAAUCCUUGUAAUUUCCCAUUUUAAUUAUUCAACCAAAAUCUGAUGAGUACUCCCUUCCUUUUGAAUUGAGAGCUUGUAUGUGAGUUAUAGUAGCCAAGGAGUCAUGGGUUCAUGUUUGAAGCUUGAAGUUUUGAGUGGUGACUUUUGAAAGAGAUUGUGUUGAAUUUCGUUUUUGGAUAUACUUUCAGAAAAACAGUAAGUACUCCUUCCCUGUAACUCCAAUCGAGUUAAUUCUUUAAGUUCUGUAAAGCUAACGAAUUUACCCUCGUUGGCAUAUCAAAUUUUAUCGGAUUCGGAGUUACAAUGCAUUAUGUAGGUGAUGCUAAAGUUGAAGAUACGAAACAGGAUUUCUGCAGAAAAUGUGUUUGGACAGUGCUGCACUUAAAGGUUAACUGCGCCCUCUCUAUAACUCGGUUUGACAUUCCAUUUGCUUCUAUGGAUAGCUAACUCGAUUACGGUUGGUAUGGUUCCGGUUUUGUGAAUUUUCAAUAAGGGAUGAGGUCUGUAUGAAUUUUUGAAGUUGAUACUCCGAUGCAGAAUUCUGCAGAAAGGUAUGGGUACGGGUUUGAAGCAUUUCGAUUGAAAUUAUGCAUAUCGGCGAGCUCUGGAAAUGACAAUGGUAUUGUUCAAGCGUAUUUGCAGGUGGGUUCCCUUAGAGCCUUAAACUCUAGUUAGUUUUAACUCUAUUAGUUUCCCCAAAUUAUGAAUCUUGCAUGAUAACAUAAGCAUUAGGGUGAAUUGUGUAUGAGAGGAGCUUAAUCCCAAAGCUUCUCUUCGUUUUAAUUAUGUGAAAUAUGUUGUAAUGUUCAUGGCUAAUAAGUAAAGGGAUUGUGAUAAUGAUUUUCUGCAAAACGGAUGGAAAUUGUAAAAACAGAGUAAUGAACUGAUAGCCUCGCUAAGCGAAAUGGUACUUGCUAGGCGAGAAUAUCAGCUCAGUACUAUGUAGAAUUUAAAAUUAUGAACAAACUCACGUUUUUGAAUCCCCUACCUUUUUAGUACAUUUUCUGUGAAUAAUACAAGUAUAAUAAUUAAUUAAAAUGUUAAGUACACGUUAAGUUAAGAUAAUCAGGAUAUCAGGACAAGUUAGCUACUCCAGGGAGGGAAAUUCAUGGGUAGGAUANNN